UGAAACAGUGAUGAGCCCUACAGACCUGUAACGAUUUGCGGUGAUGAUCGCAAUCCUUGUGAACAUCUAAGGGACUGAGUUCUU